rnacentral:rRNA from 1 species
GAUGAACGCUGGCGGCGUGCCUAAUACAUGCAAGUCGAGCGAACAGACGAGGAGCUUGCUCCUCUGACGUUAGCGGCGGACGGGUGAGUAACACGUGGAUAACCUACCUAUAAGACUGGGAUAACUUCGGGAAACCGGAGCUAAUACCGGAUAAUAUAUUGAACCGCAUGGUUCAAUAGUGAAAGACGGUUUUGCUGUCACUUAUAGAUGGAUCCGCGCCGCAUUAGCUAGUUGGUAAGGUAACGGCUUACCAAGGCAACGAUGCGUAGCCGACCUGAGAGGGUGAUCGGCCACACUGGAACUGAGACACGGUCCAGACUCCUACGGGAGGCAGCAGUAGGGAAUCUUCCGCAAUGGGCGAAAGCCUGACGGAGCAACGCCGCGUGAGUGAUGAAGGUCUUCGGAUCGUAAAACCCUGUUAUUAGGGAAGAACAAAUGUGUAAGUAACUAUGCACGUCUUGACGGUACCUAAGCAGAAAGCCACGGCUAACUACGU